GAGUAUUGAAACUGAGUUUAAGGUAACCAGUUUGUAGAGUCAUGCCAUGCACGUAAUUUAAGCUGAUAUCUUUCAUUAACAUUGUUCAAUUGCAAAUGGAUACCGCUGGCACUCGCUAACUUUUAAGUUUAAAAUGUUCAACCAACCCGCAACCAGAAAAUAGAGGUGAAUUGAUCUGAAAAAGAAUGCCGUCCAGAAUGCAGCAUUCUCAAAAUAUGGUUGCUAAAAUAUGGACUUAUGAUCUACGGCAGUGAAUGUGAUGAAGAGUAGUGGAAAUAUUUUCUUCUCAAGAUGAACUACAUUCUGACGUCAUGAGAUAAUAAUACAACAGUUCUGUUCGCCCUCUCCGAUCCCUUUGGCUAGGUUAUAAAUGGUAGUACAGUGUAUGGCGACACAUUCUGGCGGUAUUGGAAUACUCCAACAGUUCUUGCUGUCUCCCUCUUGGGUUUAUACAACCCCCGGAAGUACAGAGAAAAGAGCAUACACAGUGUGGAAUCUCGAAUCUCGAUAGCCUCUUAAGAGGACGUAAAAGCAACUCUGAUCUUGGA